rnacentral:rRNA from 1 species
GGAAUGCCUAGUAAGCGCGAGUCAUCAACUCGCGU